UACAGAGGGUGCAAGCGUUAAUCGGAAUUACUGGGCGUAAAGCGCGCGUAGGUGGUUUGUUAAGUUGGAUGUGAAAGCCCCGGGCUCAACCUGGGAACUGCAUCCAAAACUGGCAAGCUAGAGUACGGUAGAGGGUGGUGGAAUUUCCUGUGUAGCGGUGAAAUGCGUAGAUAUAGGAAGGAACACCAGUGGCGAAGGCGACCACCUGGACUGAUACUGACACUGAGGUGCGAAAGCGUGGGGAGCGAACAGG
rnacentral:rRNA from 1 species